rnacentral:rRNA from 1 species
UACGGAGGGGGCAAGCGUUGUUCGGAAUUACUGGGCGUAAAGGGCGCGCAGGCGGCUGCUCAAGUCAGGCGUGAAAGGCCUGGGCUCAACCCGGGAAUUGCGCUUGAGACUGGGCUGGCUUGAGUGCGGGAGAGGAUGGUGGAAUUCCCAGUGUAGAGGUGAAAUUCGUAGAUAUUCGCAAGAACACCAGUGGCGAAGGCGGCUCACUGGCCCAUAACUGACGCUGAGGCACGAAAGCGUGGGGAGCAAACAGG